CAACUACAUACUGGAGAUAAAUAAGGGAACCUGGCAUGCUGAAGGAAGAACAAAUGGCUCAGAGUGACCUGGGGAAGAAUGAUGACAGAGGGAACAAUUUAAGGAGAAUAACCUUGACAUUAGAUUAAUGUAGAAUGAAAUUGAAGUUUCCACAAACUGUAAACAUCUCCGCCGUGUGACCAGAAUGAUGUCAGCGGAGCCGGCGAUCUGAGGCCAAGAGUGAACUGUGAAGGGAUGUCCGCUAACGGCAGUUGAAGACGGGGAGCUGGUUUGGCUUUGACUUUUAAAAAUUGCCAGAGAAGCGUGUUCUGUGUCUCUCCUGCUCUGAAAGGAGCUGGAAGCUUGCGGGUACCUGAGAGCUGAUGGCCUCCAAUCUGCCUUCCCAUGAAAAUUCUUGGCCCUUUGCCUGGUUUACCUUAGAGUUUGUAUUGCCUCAUUUUUCUUAUUUUCCACCGAUGCCCUGCCCUGAAGAACUUUU